CUUACCAAUUGGAUUUGUAUUCUGUGGAACAGGGAGGCUUAUCUAAGGUCUCUCUCUAGAAAACACAGCUCUGUUCAAAGGGAAAAGCAGGCUGGCCAACCCACGUGAUGGCUCUUGAAGCUUCUCUUUUGAAUGGCCUGCUAGGACUUGGGCUCCGGAUUCACUGGCUAAAGCAAGUCACAUGGCCAAACCUGAUUUGGUGGGGAGGGGAGGUGUACCCAGCACUGGAGGCCCUGCACGUCGUGUAGCAAUGGGGCAGGAUGAAUAGUCCUCUCACUGGGAGGACAGUGAAUAACUGGAAACAGUGACCAAUCUGCUACCAUGCACCAUCUUGGUUGCAAUUAUCACUCCUGUCUCUUGCGUGGGCAUGGUGGAUUGGAGGCGGCUGCGGAUUCUUAGUCAUUCCUCCCAGCAAGACAUGGAGUAUUUUUCUCCUCCCCUUGGAUCUGGGCUGAUUCCAGGACUGGCUUUCAUCAACAGGAUGUAGCAGAAGCGACGCUGUGUGAGUUCCCAGGCUGAGGCUGCAGAGAUUUGAGGCAUCUUCUCUCACCCAGCUUGAAGUCCUUCCCCUUGGAAGCCAGUCACCGUGAAAAAACUCACCAUGCUGUGAGGAAGCCCAAGAGAGCUGCAUGGAGAGAAGGGCCUGUGGAAGAGCUCUGAGGUGCCACUCACAUGAAGUGAGCCUUUGUGGACCUUCCAGCCCAGCCACCAGCAAACACAACCCAACAGACUUCGAAACUGGGAGCUUUUGGAUCCAGAAACCCAACAACAGGUGGGAAGCAACACUGAUAUGGCUGAAAUCAGGCCUAGUCCGGAGAGAUGAAGGAGUCCAGGCUUGGAGGCUGAACUGGGCUCCCUCUAUUCCUGCUUAAGGAUCUGAGCACCGAGGACCAGACCCCAGUUCCAGGCCCAGCCUGCUUUUAACAAGACAGUGAAGAGUGGCAGUUAAAGGUCUGGCUGGCAUCAGACAGUGCUGAAUUCAAACACCAGCGGAGCUGAAAAUGGCCUGGCUGGGUGACCUUGAGCAAGCAGCCUGCCCUCUCCAAGGCUAUUUAUUUUCUGGAAGGGGAAGAUGGUGUCUACUUCCAACAACUGCCACGAUGUUUUAGGUUCAGCCCAAAGAGUGAGCAGCCAAAAAACAGUGCCGAGAAAGGCCUCUGGCCGGCCAGGUAGAGAGAAAUGACCCAAUUCCUUCCAGAAGUUUCCAAUGUUUCCAAGCCGAUGGAGCUCCCGGGAGACACCUGAAGAUCUCUUAACAUUCAGGGAAGCAUGGGGUCUGCUCGCAUUAGGGAGGAUUUGUUUUAUUUUUAAAGGAGUUGAGGCCACUUUGCAAUCAGAGCCUUCAUGGCUGGGGCAGGGAGAGCUGAGGAAGGGGUAUUAAUCAAGGCGCUUUAAGGACAUGCAAAUGAGGAGAACGCUCAAGUGAUUAGGGUGUGAUGGGGCCUGGAGUCCAGCCUGUAUCCCCAUGUGAGAAGAGAGAGUCAGAGAGCCAGGCAAGGUGGCUCAGGCCCAGCUGGGGGUGGCAGCCAAGGGGCUGCCAUGAGGUCGGGAACGGUGGGCGGGGAGCAAACAGAGGCAGAGGGAAGGGAGCCACUCCAAGGUGGCUGAAGGGUCCCCGAUGGCCGCGCUGUCCAGGUGGUACUCUGGCUGGCUUCCCCGCCUCCUCCACAGCUGCAGAGGGGCCGCUCUGCCAGGACCCCCUGCCUGGCUGGGACAGGCCCCUCUUCCCAAGGAUACAGAAUGACUAUUUAGGUGAGAGGGGCCCACUGGCGCUGCUGGGGUGGGGAAUGUGAUGUUGGCGAUCUGCGGUAUCUUCAGGGUGACAGCCAUGCCCAACGCGUGGGACCUGGCUUCCACAUCUAUAGACCUGACCUAAGGAAAUAUGUGGGCGUGUGCAUAAGGAUGCCAUCUCAGGACUGCGUAUUAAUAAAAAGCUGAAUCAAACAGUGUCCAACAAGGGUGGCUGUUCCAGCUGGUUAUGGAAUGUGUUUACCAUGGACUUCCAGGUCCUCCUGAGAAAUGACGACCUAGAUGUGGGAAGAUGGUCUCAACGUAUUGUUCUGCAAAGGAGAAAAAAAGCAGGUUGCAAAACACUGGGAACUGUCUGCCCAUCUUCGAAAAGGCCCAGGAAAUCACGUAGCCAGUCUUGCCAGCAUCCAGAGCAAAGCCCAGCACAAGGUAGUUGCCAGAUGGAUGGAUGAAUGAAUGAAUGAAUGAAUGAAUGAAAUGUCAUCUCGUUCCCUCUCCACUCAGCCCCUUCCUGAUUUUCCACUAUCCAUCAAUGGAGACUCAGCAGGGUUCUUGAGUGCCCUGCUCACCUGGAGAGAAUGUGAUGCCCGUACUGAUCCCUGGGGCACUCAGACCCAAAGGCAGUAAGUGCCACAUAAAUGGAGUUGUCGUUGUUGGUGUCACACCUUCCCCCUGGGGCUGUGGCCUCAGCUGCUGCACUUUCCCCAGGGAUGGAUGGCAGGUGAGCCUUGCCAGGGGCUGGAGGCCAACGGGGUGGAGGAGGAGAUGGCAGGGGGGGAUGAAGUCAGGAGCCUGGUGGAUGGAGUCCAGGCACAUCCUGAUACCAAUUAAAGCAGCUCUGGCACAGGAGGCCUUGGAUGGCAUUUAUUAGCCCGCGGGGGAGGGGCCGGCAAACUGUCCUCCGGCUGAUGGAUUAGACAGUAGGCAAUUAGGUUUCAGGCGGGCGCUCUCCCUCUGCCUCUCCAUCCCUCUCUCUCUCUCUCUCUCACACACACACACACCACACAUACACACACUCACCACACACACACACACUCACCACACACACACACACACUCACCACACACACACACACACACACCCCUUUCUCCAUCCGUCUGCAAGGCCCAGCGAGAGAGCCCAGCUGGGUCUCUGCUGAGCCCCAAGUGAUAGGAACAAAAUAGAUACAAAGCCCCCUCCCUGAGGGGGAGGGUCCUCAAAGAGAAGAAGGGAGCCCCAGGGACUUCUCCACCCAAAGCUAUGCCCGUGGGGAUCACAGCUCAAGACCCCACAGUCUCAACCCCAAGCAUCACUUCCAACAGGACCAGGAGUGGGGGCGUUCCCGAGAAGCCAACAUGCAGGAGACAACAGCGAUGGUCAUUUCCAAAGCUGAGGACAUGGAACGGAGCCAGAUGGAGGUCCCUUCCUCCCCUGAGAAGGAGAAUCUCCCCUUCACAAUCAGAGCCUUUGAUCCACAGAUCACAACAGGAGCAAUGUGUGAGGCAAGGACAGCGACAUUGAGGGGCUUCUCAAAGCUGCAGGAAAAGUCCUCAAGAUUGUAGAAUGUUUGGCACUGCAGAUGCUCUGGGAUGAGUCAAGAAUGCUAAGAAGGAAGGAUGUCCUGAACCCUGCUUUGGGAAAUGCAGAAUCAGACCACACCCCAUGGCCGGCUGUUUCCUGAAGACCACACUCGUCUCACCCUCUGUCCUGAUGUCUGUGAUGCACCCAGGCUCAUCACACCACCCUUCAGCCAUCAGCUCCUGCUCCCACCUCUAACCUCAGCGCAGAGGCCACUCAGUCCCACACGUACCAGCUGGACCCAUCCACCUUCGACAGCCACUGAGGCAGGUUGGCCAGCUUACUUUUUGGGCUCUCCCACCCCACAGAGGCUUCCUGGGGCCACCUCCUUCACACUGCCUGGCACACAGUAGGUGCUCAAUAGAUAUCCGUCUAAAAAAGCUACUGGGCCCAGGCCGGGGGCGGUGGCUCAAGCCUGUAAUCCCAGCACUUUGGGAGGCCGAGGCGGGCGGAUCACGAGGUCAGGAG